AGAGAAGCGUCUGUAGAAGUGUUGAAUUGUAGCUUCAAUUAUGGGUGAUUCCCCUUCUUUA
rnacentral:tRNA from 1 species